UGACUCUCUUGGGUAUGGUCAGACCUGAGAACAAAAAUGCCCAAGGAGCAAAUAAAGAAGUUAUGGAACAUGCCUGCUGGGAGAAGUCCAUGAGGGUACAUCUCUGUUUUCCUGCAGACUUAGAACAUGUGCUAUCAAGGUGUGCCAAGAUGAGCCAAUGGGAUUGUUACAAAAAGCCAUAAUGAAAACAUCUGGAAACACAUCAGACUUCCACAGACUUGUCAGUGAUUAAUCCAAAGAUGGAACUUCAGAAAAAAAGGGUUCAGACAUUUCCAGGGAGGAGGCACCUGCUUUUUGCCACAAUGCAAAAUAAUUCCACCCAUUUCUCCUCUGCCACAGCAGAGACUCUGUUUAUUGGCCCUGGAGGCUGACAAGGAACUGACACCUGUGCCCAAACCUUGGCAGAAAAAGGCACGUUCAUUGUGCAGCAGAGUUGUAGAUCCAUGUGUCCUCAAGGCAGCAGAGAGGAGCACACUUUACCCUUGCAAAGAGAAACAGAAAACUGCAUUACAAGAAUACCUUGAAGCUGGAAAGCUAGUAAUACCUAAUUGAGCAACUUGCCUGAUCUUGGCAUUAUUUCUGAAACUUGGAAGACAAAAGAGGAGGAGGCAGAGAACAUACUGAGGUUCACAGUGGCAUGAAAAAGGUGAGAAGAAGAAUAUUUGAAAUCUUACCUGUAAUGGUAAAAUCUUACCUGAGGUGGACAAUCAGAGACAAUGCUGUUCAGCUGGUAGAACUGCAUUGCUGACUGAGUCAGUGUUAGGAUUUUUUAUGAAAUUCAUAUUGCUUCUGAUGGUUUUGCCUGCUGGUGAUAAAAGAGGGAAUAUGUGAAGAGUGAUAAAGGUGGAGCAGCUUCCAUGUGAUGAAGGAAAUUUGACACUCUUCAGCCUGGAGUAAGAAUCAGCUGAUGGAGAAUUUGAUAGAGAUCUACAGGACUGG